rnacentral:tRNA from 1 species
GCGCCCAUAGCUUAAAUGGAUAGAGCAACAGCUUCCGGAGCUGAAGAUAUAGGUUCAAUUCCUAUUGGGCGUUCAA